GCGAGUGAAGAGGGAAGAGCCCAAGAUUGAAAGCUGGCGUCUUCGGCGUCCGCAUUGUAAUCUCAAGAAGUGUUUUCCGCUUCGGACCAAGCCUAAGUCCCCUGGAAAGGGGCAUCAUAGAGGGUGAUAAUCCCGUACAUGGCUUGGAGCGCCCGUAGCUUUGUGAUACACUUUCUAAGAGUCGAGUUGUUUGGGAAUGCAGCUCAAAAUGGGUGGUAAAUGCCAUCUAAGGCUAAAUAUUGGGGAGAGACCGAUAGCGAACAAGUACAGUGAUGGAAAGAUGAAAAGAACUUUGAAAAGAGAGUUAAACAGUACGUGAAAUUGCCAAAAGGGAAGGGUAGGAGGUCAGAGAUGCGGCCUAGGAUUCAGCCUUGCUUUUGCUUGGUGUUUUUCCUAGAUUGCAGGCCAACGUCGGUUUUGGGCACUGGAGAAGGGUGGAAGGAACGUGGCACCUCUCGGGGUGUGUUAUAGCCUUCUACUGGAUACAGCGACCGAGACCGAGGACAGCAGCGUACUCGCAAGAGCGGGCCUUCGGGCACCUUUACGCUUAGGGCGUUGGCAUAAUGGCCCUCUACCACCC
rnacentral:rRNA from 2 species